rnacentral:rRNA from 1 species
AUUGAACGCUGGCGGCAGGCCUAACACAUGCAAGUCGAACGGUAACAGGGAUCAGCUUGCUGAUUCGCUGACGAGUGGCGGACGGGUGAGUAAUGUCUGGAAAACUGCCUGAUGGAGGGGGAUAACUACUGGAAACGGUAGCUAAUACCGCAUAACGUCGCAAGACCAAAGAGGGGGACCUUCGGGCCUCUUGCCAUCGGAUGUGCCCAGAUGGGAUUAGCUAGUAGGUGGGGUAACGGCUCACCUAGGCGACGAUCCCUAGCUGGUCUGAGAGGAUGACCAGCCACACUGGAACUGAGACACGGUCCAGACUCCUACGGGAGGCAGCAGUGGGGAAUAUUGCACAAUGGGCGCAAGCCUGAUGCAGCCAUGCCGCGUGUAUGAAGAAGGCCUUCGGGUUGUAAAGUACUUUCAGCGGGGAGGAAGGGAGUAAAGUUAAUACCUUUGCUCAUUGACGUUACCCGCAGAAGAAGCACCGGCUAACUCCGUG